UACCUAUAUAGGAAUAUAAAUCCUUUAUUAAAUAGAAAUAUAAAUCCUACACUGAUUAGGAAAAUAUAAAUCUACUAAUUAGGAAUAUGAACUUUCCAUAACACCAGGCAAUGCAAAGUACUCAACUCAUACUGAAAGGAUCAGCCAGUCAUUCUUUAAUUUCCAUGUUAGUUUAUAUUGAUUGCUUAGUUGGCCAGCUAAACUUAGACAUGCAACUUACAGUGCAUGAAACAUCAGAGAAAAGGCAACAUCUGUAG
rnacentral:misc_RNA from 1 species